rnacentral:rRNA from 1 species
CGGCUCUCCCCAUCCUGGCCGUGCAGCAGCGGCCAAGGGUGAGGUUGUUCGCCUAUUAAAGGGGAUCGUGAGCUGGGUUUAGACCGUCGUGAGACAGGUCGGUUGCUAUCUAACGGGGGUGUCCGGGAGGCUGUGGGGAAGGAGGUUCUAGUACGAGAGGAACGAGCCUCCGGCGCCACUGGUUGACCGGUUGUCCGGCAGGGCACUGCCGGGCAGCUACGCGCCAUGCGGUUAAAGGCUGAAAGCAUCUAAGCCUGAAACCGCCCCCGAAAAGAGCCUCCCUUAAGGGCGCGGGUAGAAGACCCGUUUGAUAGGACCGGGAUGUAAGCGGGAAGGCAACGACCCGUUCAGUCCGCGGUCACUAAAGCCCGUGC